CCUACGGGCGGCAGCAGUGAGGAAUAUUGGUCAAUGGACGAGAGUCUGAACCAGCCAAGUAGCGUGAAGGAUGACUGCCCUAUGGGUUGUAAACUUCUUUUAUAUGGGAAUAAAAUGUUCCACGUGUGGGAUUUUGUAUGUACCAUAUGAAUAAGGAUCAGCUAACUCCGUGCCAGCAGCCGCGGUAAUACGGAGGAUCCGAGCGUUAUCCGGAUUUAUUGGGUUUAAAGGGAGCGUAGGUGGAUUGUUAAGUCAGUUGUGAAAGUUUGCGGCUCAACCGUAAAAUUGCAGUUGAAACUGGCAGUCUUGAGUACAGUAGAGGUGGGCGGAAUUCGUGGUGUAGCGGUGAAAUGCUUAGAUAUCACGAAGAACUCCGAUUGCGAAGGCAGUUCACUGGACUGCAACUGACACUGAGGCUCGAAAGUGUGGGUAUCAAACAGGAUUAGAUACCCGAGUAGUC
rnacentral:rRNA from 1 species